rnacentral:rRNA from 1 species
UACAGAGGUGGCAAGCGUUGUUCGGAAUUACUGGGCGUAAAGGGCGCGUAGGCGGCCUUCUAAGUCGGAUGUGAAAUCCCCAAGCUUAACGUGGGAACUGCAUCCGAUACUGGAUGGCUUGAAUCCGGGAGAGGGAUGCAGAAUUCCAGGUGUAGCGGUGAAAUGCGUAGAUAUCUGGAGGAACACCGGUGGCUAAGGCGGCAUUCUGGACUGCAACUGACACUGAAAGACGAAAGCCAGGGGAGCAAACGGG